rnacentral:lncRNA from 1 species
CGAUAGCUAUAAAAUGCAAUCAGCUGAUUAUUGAUUUUCUGUCCAAAUCUUAAUGAGGUCAAGGUGAAUUCCGAGUAUUGUCUGAUCGGGUAAAGUCAGAGAAACUCGAAAAAAAGUAAAUAAACAAGAUGGAGGAAAUAAAUCGUUAUAAAUAUUUCUUUCGCCAAAUUCUUUCGCAAAUGACGAUUAUUUAUCGCCACA